UACGAAGGGGGCUAGCGUUGCUCGGAAUCACUGGGCGUAAAGGGUGCGUAGGCGGGUCUUUAAGUCAGGGGUGAAAUCCUGGAGCUCAACUCCAGAACUGCCUUUGAUACUGAGGAUCUUGAGUCCGGGAGAGGUGAGUGGAACUGCGAGUGUAGAGGUGAAAUUCGUAGAUAUUCGCAAGAACACCAGUGGCGAAGGCGGCUCACUGGCUCGGUACUGACGCUGAGGCACGAAAGCGUGGGGAGCAAACGGGG
rnacentral:rRNA from 1 species